rnacentral:tRNA from 2 species
UCCCUGGUGGUCCAGUGGUUAAGACUUUGCACUUACAGUGCAGGGGGCCCAAGUUCAAUCCCUGGUCAAGGAG